AUGUCAGUUCCAGGACCCUAGCAGGCAGCUGCCAGGCCUUCCUCAGUGCCAACUGCGCGCCCAUCCUAUGAAGAGACAGUGGCUGUUAACAAUUACUACCCCACGCCUCCAGCACCCAUGCCUGGACCUACCACGGGGCUCAUGACAGGCUCAGAUGGGAAGAGCAUGAAUCCUCCUUCGUAUUAUAACCAGCCGGUGCCUGUCCCCAAUGCCAAUGCAAUUGCUGUGCGACUGUCUACCUGCAACAGCCUGUCUCCUUUUAUGACCACCCUGUUCAGAUGUGUUGUCCUUCCUGCAACAAGAUGAUCGUGACUCAGCUGUCCUACAAUGCUAAUGCCCUGACCUGGCUGUCCUGUGGGAGCCUGUGCCUGCUGGGAUGUGUUGUAGGCUGCUGCUUCAUCCCCUUCUGCGUGGACGCCCUACAGGAUGUGGAACACUACUAUCCCAACUGCAAAGCUCUCCUAGGCACCUACAAGCGUCUGUAGGAUUCAGCCGAACAUGAAGGGAGCCGGGUGCUGUAGGAAGUCCUUUCCUACUCUCAUCCAGCCCCACCCCUGGUGGAGAUUCUGUUCUCGUGGUCUCAGCUUUCCAGCAGGCCUUAUCUUCAUGUCUUCUUUUGGGGGGGAAAUGUCACAAAACUAACAAACCUCCAAACACCAGAAAUUGCUGCUUGGAGUCGUGCACAGGACAUGUAAAGACAUUCCCCUUGAGUGCUGGCUCAAGGGGUUCCUGCCUACCCGUGACCCCGAAUCAUGCCAUCUAACUGUGAUUGUUGCC